GUGCAAGAACAAUGUAUAUUAUUUUAAAGAGAGAUGGUGACCUGAAAAUCACUCCCAGUAGGAUUAUGCUGAAGCUC
rnacentral:snoRNA from 1 species